rnacentral:rRNA from 1 species
CGGGGGGAGCAAGCGUUGUUCGGAUUUACUGGGCGUAAAGGGCGCGUAGGCGGUCAGCACAAGUCAGUUGUGAAAUCUCCGGGCUUAACUCGGAAAGGUCAACUGAUACUGUGCGACUAGAGUGCAGAAGGGGCAACUGGAAUUCUCGGUGUAGCGGUGAAAUGCGUAGAUAUCGAGAGGAACACCUGCGGCGAAGGCGGGUUGCUGGGCUGACACUGACGCUGAUGCGCGAAAGCCAGGGGAGCGAACGGGAUUAGAUACCCCGGUAGUCCUGGCCUUAAACGAUGGAUGCUUGGUGUCUGGAGUUUUAUAGUCUCCGGGUGCCGUAGCUAACGCGUUAAGCAUCCCGCCUGGGGAGUACGGCCGCAAGGCUG